CCUCAUCUGCCCUCCAGGUCAGUAAUGGUCAAUGUUUUAUCUUCUGAAGUACUACUUCUCGCAAGACUGCAACUUCUCUCCAUAAAAAACCCAGGCUCUUUAGGUUCUGCCAAAAUUACUCCAUCAUUUCCUAACAUUGACACCACAGAUGACAUGUUUGGCCUAUCUUCUGCAAAUUUCUGAACACAUAAUAAUCCCACUUGCAUGCAUCUCUUCACUUCAUACUCCGCAAAUGUAUCAUUCAAAUACUCAUCCAUUAACUCCAAAAUCCUGUUUUCUUUCCAUAGCAACCAUGCCUGCCACAAGGAUAUAUCAACAAGAUGAACAAGUAUGGGAUAUGACAAGCUAAUCAGAGUGUACCAAAAACAAAGAGGUCAAGGCUUUUAUUCUGCAGGUAUUCAUAGAUUAGCAUCCUUUCUUCUUCUUCAAUGCAACAUCCCAAUAGUCUUACAAGAUUUCUGUGUUGAAGUUUUGCAAUCACCAUAACUUCAUUUCUGAAUUCUUCCAGACCCUGUUGUGAAGAUUUCGAUAAUCUUUUGACAGCAAUUUCUUCUCCUGAUAGCAUUUUCCCCUGCUUAUGGAAGUUAGAAUACGAGUAUACUUUUAAUCCAACUUCAGCACUCUCACUUAGAAUGUUACCUUGUAAACAGUACCGAAACCUCCGACUCCAAUGUAGUUUUCCGUUGAGAAAUUAUUUGUGGCUUGCACAAUAGUUGCCAUUUUGAUCACAGUUAAUUCUAAAUCCUCAUCAUUCCAUUUUACUGGUAAAAGCGAGAGUAAAAAAGAAUAAAUGCUUGAGAGUUAGCUUGAGUUUAUGCUUUGAAUAUGAAUAAACUCUCUUUCUUAGAGCAGUCAACUACAGAAGUUCAAUUGUUACCUUGCCCCUUUCGUCUUGACAUAAAAAGUACAGCUCCAUUGAUAAUGGCUGAGACGAGAACACCAGAAGCAAUUGAUACCAGUAUGAAUUUAGUAGGCCUUUUAUACUCCCCUUCUUCUAAACCUCUGCUAAAAUCUACAGGCAAAUUCGAACAGCUUCUAUGUUUAAUGAUUCAUACUUUUACGAAACAAUUAGGUCACAACAUGCACGUAGUGCAAGUAUCCAUCUUAAGUUUGGAGCUGAGAUAUGCAGAUCUAGAUAGCGUAAAUGGUAGUUACUAGUUAUGAAACUACUAACCUAGUUCAGAAAGUGGCACACGGAUAUAGAUCUUCUGCUUACUAUCUGCUUCAGAGAGUCCUUUGGUAUCCAUGAGAUCACCAAACCACAUCAAGCAGCCAUUGCCCCCAUUGGUGAUGAACGAAUUAGCAUAAGCGGUGCAACUACAGUUUUUAAGGCACUCAGAUUUGCACUCAGCGAGGCUCAUGCUUGUAUUUAACAGACAUCUCAAGGUAUCAGGAUACUUCACCCCUCUAAUCUCUUGAAAUCCAUCUCCGCCCUCACAAUUCAACGGUUUAGUUCUAAUACAUCCACCCGACCAAUCGUGAAGAUCCCAAUCCUUUUGGAGCUUGGGAGCAAAUCCCUUUAAACAUUGGCAUCUAAUUGGCCUGUCAGAUCUGCAGAUACAGUUGUGGCCACAGCUAUCAUAUUCAUCGCACGUAUCUUGUGGAAAAGAGAUGACAUGAUUCCACUUGUCUUUUCUGAUAUUCAUGGUAUGGCGCUGGAGUGUACCAGAUGUAUCCAAAGUAGUUCUCACCGGAAUUGAGUUCUCAUAGACCUCUUCAAUGGAUAUCAACCUCUCUUGCCUGAAAACCAGUUCUGUUUUGAAAAUGGAAUUGGGAAAGGGUGCGUUACCACAAAAAUACAUCCCAUUCCACUGUCCUACUCGGUAUCUUUUGCUUGCCCCUCUUAGAGUCACCGUCUCAGCCAAGCCCCGAUUUUGGAUCCGGUGAACAUAAUCACCGGGAGAUGGAUCGUCCGGACUUCUCCAUGACGUCAGAUAUCUCUCAACACCAGCAUCAACAUCAUCCACCAAUUUCAUUCCUGGUAACAUGGUGUCAGUUGGGUAAUCAAAACUCUGCCACAUGUAGCCCUCCGUCGUGCUUGUGUUGUCGUUUAAAAGAACCAUGUUUCCAGUAUCCAGGAGCUGUAAAACUGGAUUUGAUGCCACCGCUGAUCCUGAUGAAUUCGCCACCCAGAUAAUGCUUUUGCCACUGCUUAUAACAAGACUUCCAUUUCUGGAGAUCAUGAAAACUGGUGCUUGUGAGGCGGUGAUGGGAUGGUUUCUGUUUGCAACCCAGACUACUACUUCUGGUGUGCUCUUGUACCAUAUUCCCAUGAAUCUAUUUGAAGAUUUUCCAGGUGAGAAGAAACCCAUUUCAAAAACUUGGUUUUGAGAGAUCAAAGUCUGCCCGAUAACAAGCGUUUGAUUUGGUACAAGACUGCAAUUGUCAACUGCUCCAACUAUUAAACUCAGAAAGAAGAUGUAAUGAAGCAGAUGGCAGAGGAUUGAAGUGUACAAGAAGAACUGUGCCAUGAUCAAAUCUAGUAAGUUUGAUUUAAUUCACAACUUUGUUUCAAAAAAAAAAUUAAUUCACAACUUUGUGUUGAUAUUACAUUUUCUAUCUCCAUUAUUUUUAGAUGAUAACUUUUAGAUGAUAACUACCUAUGUUAUUUUCUAAUGGUGUAUAACUUGAAACUUAAUUCAUUUCUAAUACAUUGAAUUUAAUUCA